UGGGGAAUUUUGCACAAUGGGGGAAACCCUGAUGCAGCGACGCCGCGUGAUUUAGAAGGCCUUCGGGUUGUAAAAAUCUUUUCUAUGGGAAGAAAAUGACAGUACCAUAGGAAUAAGGACCGGCUAAUUACGUGCCAGCAGCCGCGGUAAUACGUAAGGUCCGAGCGUUGUCCGGAAUCAUUGGGCGUAAAGGGUACGUAGGCGGGUAAGCAAGUUAGAAGUGAAAUCCUGUAGCUCAACUACAGUAAGCUUUUAAAACUGCUCAUCUUGAGAUAUGGAAGGGAAAGUGGAAUUCCUAGUGUAGCGGUGAAAUGCGCAGAGAUAUGGAGGAACACCAGUGGCGAAGGCGACUUUCUGGUCUGUAACUGACGCUGAUGUGCGAAAGCGUGGGGAUCAAACAGG
rnacentral:rRNA from 1 species